GCCUUUGUGUAGUGUAGUGGUAAGGUGCAGGGCUUAUAACCAAAAGGUUGCUGGUUCGAUUCCCCACUGGGGCA